UAGGGAAUCUUCCACAAUGGGCGAAAGCCUGAUGGAGCAACGCCGCGUGUGUGAUGAAGGGUUUCGGCUCGUAAAACACUGUUGUAAGAGAAGAAUGACAUUGAGAGUAACUGUUCAAUGUGUGACGGUAUCUUACCAGUAAGGAACGGCUAAAUACGUGCUAG
rnacentral:rRNA from 1 species